AGAGUUUGAUCAUGGCUCAGGACGAACGCUGGCGGCGUGCCUAAUACAUGCAAGUUGAACGCAACAUAAACACCAGAGCUUGCUCUACCGUUUAUGUUGAGUAGCGAACGGGUGAGUAACGCGUGGGUAACCUGCCUUAUAGCGGGGGAUAACUAUUGGAAACGAUAGCUAAUACCGCAUAACAAUGUUAGAUGCAUAUUUAACAUUUGAAAGUACCAAUUGGUACACUAUGAGAUGGACCCGCGUUGUAUUAGCUAGUUGGUAGUGUAAUGGACUAUCAAGGCGAUGAUACAUAGCCGACCUGAGAGGGUGAUCGGCCACAUUGGGACUGAGACACGGCCCAAACUCCUACGGGAGGCAGCAGUAGGGAAUCUUCGGCAAUGGACGAAAGUCUGACCGAGCAACGCCGCGUGAGUGAAGAAGGUUUUCGGGUCGUAAAACUCUGUUGUUAGAGAAGAACGUUGAUUAGAGUGGAAAAUUAAUCAAGUGACGGUAUCUAACCAGAAAGGGACGGCUAACUACGUGCCAGCAGCCGCGGUAAUACGUAGGUCCCGAGCGUUGUCCGGAUUUAUUGGGCGUAAAGCGAGCGCAGGUGGUUUAAUAAGUCUGAUGUAAAAGGCAGUGGCUCAACCAUUGUGUGCAUUGGAAACUGUUAGACUUGAGUGCAGUAGAGGAGAGUGGAAUUCCAUGUGUAGCGGUGAAAUGCGUAGAUAUAUGGAGGAACACCGGUGGCGAAAGCGGCUCUCUGGACUGUCACUGACACUGAGGCUCGAAAGCGUGGGUAGCAAACAGGAUUAGAUACCCUGGUAGUCCACGCCGUAAACGAUGAGUGCUAGUUGUUUGGGGCUAUCCAGCCCUAAGUGGCGCAGCA
rnacentral:rRNA from 1 species